UCUCUACUCGACGGCUAUUCAACCUUUUCUUUAAAAAUCCUUCCUUUUUCGCUCAGCUUGAUUGAAAGCCCCCAAAAGCUCUCCUACCCAUUGCUAUCACCUCCGGCAUAGCCCAAAAAACUACACUUUUUCUUUUCCCCUCUUGCAAUCUAGAAUUGGAAAGAAAAAAUCACCCUAAACCCCAAAAAAAAAAUCCCUAAGUCCUAUGAAAAGCAAACUCUUCUCUACCCUACCCCAUUCUUAUUUCAUGAAUUUUUUUGUUGAUUUUCUUUGGUUGGAAUUGGGUAUUGUAUGCGGCUGGUAGAAGAACUAGGUUUUCAAGAUUUUUUACAAGGUUUCUAGGGUUUUUGAAAUCCGUCUCUUUUCUUUUGUUUUUUUUUAGAAUCUACCCCUUUUUUGAAAAUAUUUUUGUUCAUAUAGAAGCUGAAAAUAUCAUCCUAG
rnacentral:lncRNA from 1 species